AGAGUUUGAUCAUGGCUCAGGAUGAACGCUGGCGGCGUGCCUAACACAUGCAAGUCGAACGUGAGAGGGUAGCAAUAUCCUUGAAAGUGGCGAACGGGUGAGUAACACGUAGAUAACCUGCCUCGGAGUGGGGGAUAACGGCUGGAAACGGUCGCUAACACCGCAUGGUACCAGAAUGACGGGAGUCAAACUGGUUAAAACUCUGGUGCUUCGAGAGGGGUCUGCGGCCGAUUAGCUAGUUGGCGGGGUAAGAGCCCACCAAGGCGACGAUCGGUAGCUGGUCUGAGAGGACGAUCAGCCACACGGGAACUGAGAAACGGUCCCGACUCCUACGGGGGGCAGCAGUGAGGAAUAUUGGGCAAUGGGCGCAAGCCUGACCCAGCAACGCCGCGUGGAGGAUUGAAGGCCUUCGGGUCGUAAACUCCUUUUACGGGGGAAGAGGAAGGACGGUACCCCGAGAAUAAGUCACGGCUAACUACGUGCCAGCAGCCGCGGUAAUACGUAGGUGACGAGCGUUAUCCGGAAUUACUGGGCGUAAAGCGCACGCAGGCGGCACGCUAAGUCUGACGUGAAAUCUCUCGGCUUAACCGGGAGGGGUCGUUGGAGACUGGCGAGCUUGAGGCGAUGAGAGGGGUGUAGAAUUCCCGGUGUAGUGGUGGAAUGCGUAGAUAUCGGGAGGAAUACCAGUGGCGAAAGCGACACCCUGGCAUUAGCCUGACGCUCAGGUGCGAAAGCGUGGGGAGCGAACGGGAUUAGAUACCCCGGUAGUCCACGCCGUAAACGAUGAGUACUAGGUGUGGGGGCGAGUGAAAUCGUUCUGUGCCGAAGCAAACGCGCUAAGUACUCCGCCUGGGGAGUACGGCCGCAAGGCUAAAACUCAAAGGAAUUGACGG
rnacentral:rRNA from 1 species